rnacentral:rRNA from 1 species
UACGGAGGGUGCGAGCGUUGUCCGGAAUCACUGGGCGUAAAGGGCGCGUAGGCGGCCCGGUAAGUCUGCGGUGAAAGCCCGGGGCUCAACCCCGGGUCGGCCGUGGGUACUGCGGGGCUCGAGCACUGUAGGGGCAGGCGGAAUUCCGGGUGUAGCGGUGGAAUGCGUAGAGAUCCGGAAGAACACCGGUGGCGAAGGCGGCCUGCUGGGCAGUGGCUGACGCUGAGGCGCGACAGCGUGGGGAGCAAACAGG